rnacentral:rRNA from 1 species
GACGAACGCUGGCGGCGUGCUUAACACAUGCAAGUCGAACGGAAAGGCCCUGCUUUUGUGGGGUGCUCGAGUGGCGAACGGGUGAGUAACACGUGAGUAACCUGCCCUUGACUUUGGGAUAACUUCAGGAAACUGGGGCUAAUACCGGAUAGGAGCUCCUGCUGCAUGGUGGGGGUUGGAAAGUUUCGGCGGUUGGGGAUGGACUCGCGGCUUAUCAGCUUGUUGGUGGGGUAGUGGCUUACCAAGGCUUUGACGGGUAGCCGGCCUGAGAGGGUGACCGGCCACAUUGGGACUGAGAUACGGCCCAGACUCCUACGGGAGGCAGCAGUGGGGAAUAUUGCACAAUGGGCGGAAGCCGGAUGCAGCAACGCCGCGUGCGGGAUGACGGCCUUCGGGUUGUAAACCGCUUUCGCCUGUGACGAAGCGUGAGUGAAGGUAAUGGGUAAAGAAGCACCGGCUAACUACGUG